rnacentral:lncRNA from 1 species
GAUCUCGAUCGUCCGAUCGUGUUUAAAGAGAAAAUGAAUUUGUACCAUUCAUUGCAAUUUGACCUGGAUCGUAUGAUCGCGUUUAAAGAGGGAACGAAUAUGUACCAUUCAUUAUGUUUAAUCGCGACCGUCUAAUCGUACCUGAGGAGGGAACAGAUCUGAACCGUCCACAUGCACGGGAACAAAUCCGGACUGUCGAUCGCAGGCACGCAGAUUGCCAGCGUGACCUCCCGUGUGACACCGAGUUAGCGUGCCUUGCCACGCGGCACGCUUUGGUUCGUCGAGGAUACUGACUGUGCAGUUCUAUGUGGUAUAUUUUUCUUAAAU